GUCAUAAUUUUGCAUCUUUUUGUGGUCAUUUUACAGCUUUUUUGGGAAGAUUUUGUGACUGUCAGAUCCCUGCUCAUCUCCAAACUCAUGGACCCAGCUACCCACCUGGACUUCCGCCUGGACUUCCGCCUGGACUUCCACCUGCCCUGCUUUGUCUUCAGAUCCUGACAUGAACCUUUCCACCGGUUCCGUCUCUACAUCCAGCCUCCUGUUUUCCGUCUAGUUUCCAGUCAUCUCCCGGAUUCCCGGUGCCUGUCUGUUGGUUGCCUGGUUUUUGUCAUCAGCUGAUUGAGGACACCUGUGACGGGGAAUGGCUCACCUGUUCUACGUUCCUCCUCCUGCCAUUAAUGAAGGGCUUCUCACACUGGACCGUUGCACCAUGCUGU